GACGAACGCUGGCGGCGUGCUUAACACAUGCAAGUCGAACGGUGAAGGGACCAGCUUGCUGGUUCUGGAUGAGUGGCGAACGGGUGAGUAACACGUGAGUAACCUGCCCCCUUCUUCUGGAUAACCGCAUGAAAGUGUGGCUAAUACGGGAUAUUCUGGGUCUGUCGCAUGGCGGGCCCGGGAAAGAUAUUGCUUCGGUGGGGGAUGGGCUCGCGGCCUAUCAGCUUGUUGGUGGGGUGAUGGCCUACCAAGGCGGCGACGGGUAGCCGGCCUGGGGGGGGGGACGGUCGCACUGGGACUGAGACACGGCCCAGACUCCUACGGGGGGCAGCAGUGGGGAAGAUUGCACAAUGGGCGCAAGCCUGAUGCAGCGACGCCGCGUGAGGGAGGGAGGCCUUCGGGGUGUAAGCCUCUUUCGCCAGUGAAGCAGGCCUGCUCCUUGUGGGUGGGUUGACGGUAGCUGGAUAAGAAGCGCCGGCUAACUACGUG
rnacentral:rRNA from 1 species